rnacentral:lncRNA from 13 species
UUAAUGUAUCAAUUAUGGGUUUUUAUUUUUUAAUCGCCCAAGCUGAUUAUGUUUUUAUCAGUAUUAUAUAGUACAAUGUUUAGUUUCCGAGAAUUACAGGGCCAUAAUCUUGUAGAAGAGGUAGGCUAAUAUUGAAGACCUCCCACUAAAUAUUCGAUCACGAUCAUAAAAACAAUGAAUCAUUUUUUAUUUCUUCUUUGCGUACGCUGUUAUAGUAGCAAAUAACAUUAUCUUAAAGUAGAUAACAAAAAAGGAUGUAACUUUAUCAGAAGUAAUCUAUUAUAAUCAUAUCGUUAAAAGUGAGCGUUAUCGAGGUCGUGCACCUUUCGGCGUAGCCGUAUAAGGGCCCUACACGCGUUAGACGAGAUAGGUGCAAGCGAAAUGAUUCACGAGCGACAGGAAUAGAACUGUGACCGUUUCCCCUCACGUUCCUCUUCAGGGUCGGUGAAGAGCCUUGAAGAGCCCGUGAGGUCGGCAGUCGCCGUAGUACGAGGAUGAGAAGCUCGUGCUUUCGCAUGAAUUUUUUCGACCCAAUGGAAAUAGUGUGAAUUACGACUCUUUAGCCAUUAAUCGAUUUAAUUCGAAUGCAAUACAGAAACUGUAGCGCGUCAAUUGUAUCAUAUAUAUAAUCAUAGAGAUUCAUUGCAACACUGCAUAGAAAUUAAUGCGAUAACAUUAAAAUGUAAAGCUACGUAUUUGCAUGUCGCGAACAAAGGCAAUAUACCUUUGCAAUAAUGGCUAUUGUGUACGAAAGGAUUAAUCUUGAUAUCUCAGUUACUUUUCAAGUAGAUCUAGCAGAGGCGACGUUUUUAAAUCGCAUCAGAUAGUUAAUGAAGAACUGUUUUCUUUUCCUGCUCGCACUCAAGAUAUGGAUAAGUUUUCUUCGUUCGCCGAAGACGUGACGCUCGCCCGCUUCUAGCGCAUCUAGCGGCACUGUCAAGCUUGCACAUCGGGACAUUCAUCGUGUUUUGUUUUGUUGUAGCCUCACCCAUCCGCCCGCCCCUCGCUCCCUAUUCCCAUACAGAUUCCAGCAUCCGCGACUUCGCCCCCCAUGCUCUUCUCGGGCUCUCCUCCUGGAGCGCGCUCUCCCGCGCUUCCACCCUUCAUCAUAUUACUAUCAUCCACCGAUUCGCGUAAUCGCCUCGAGCACUCGACGCUGCUCGCCCACCGACAUUUUUUUCCAAUUUCGCUCACCCGAACCGUCUUCCUUCUAUCCAUCAUUCUUCUAUUUUAUCUUCUUUCUCUACCGUUUCGUCCACUGUCCACCGUCAUCCUCUCGACAUCGAUUUGCUUCGAGACGACGACGACGGCAGCAACCAGCGGAAAAUAUCAUCGUUUUUCAAAGGAGAGCCUCAGGAGACGAAGCGAGCCGCCGACCAACGUCAUCCUCACACACACCGCAUCCUGGACCGUCGUGAGUCGAAAUUUCGCCAGCUAACCCCCGCGCAAGCCGUCGCGCUGAGCGUACCUUUUCGCAAGACAAAAAGAACCGUAGGAGGAAAGUUUUAACUCUGUGUCCGGCGCUCUUCCUGGACUUCGCGACAAAGACUAUCGCAUCGAGUACUCGCACGUUGCCCAGAGGAAACCAACCCCUUCCACAGACGGGAUUAAAAAACUUUCAACGACGCACCUUGCCACCUCAUCUGCAAGAAAACUUCGUUCCUCCGUUCGACGGGAAGAAAUCAUGAGACACGAUAACCGCGCAAAUGAACAUAGAAGAGAGUAUAUUACGAACUCGCUUACUAUUUAUAAUCCAUUCCACUCUGGUUGUUUCCGCGGAGACAUUAUGAUAGUUAGCUUCUUAUGAAUCGUACAUACUCAUUGAUUAAAGAUACAUUUCUAAUUUUAUAUCAAUGAUAUUCCAAGAUAAUUAUUGAAAGUUACCAUCAAAUAUGUAUUUUCUAUUACAUUAGUCUUCUCGGUCAUCAAAUACGUUAUUAGUAACAUUCCAAUACAUUUAACGACUUCGAAUAUUCUUUUCUAUAAGCAUAUAUUUUAGCUUAGAUAUUUCUUAGUAAUUAUCCAAGUAGCAUAUGUUGAUUCAUAUGCAUUACAUUUUAUAUACGUUUCCUAAACGUAUCUAAUGUUUUAUAAUCGCGCGUUUGGAAAACGUAUGUAAAAUUAAUCGUGUUGCUACAUGAUUUUAAAAAAAUUAAUAAGACAGUGAUUUUCAACUUUAGAAAAAAAAAGAUGGUAACAAUACGCAAGCAAGUUCGCAAACUUCUUUGCUACUCUCUUCGCUGAAUAAUGCAUCUUAUUCGGUGGUAUAACCGAAUCGAUUUAAACGUCGAAAUAUCGAGGAACGAAAGUGUCCUUCUGAUUUCUGGUAGGACAGAAGGAGAACAGUGUCAAAAGUUCUCGUAACGCUCGUUUCUGCCUGGGUUUGUGAGAGGAGAACGAAAUAAGAGAGGAAAGCCGUCGUAAAACCAUACCAUAGGGCACGCUCAGAUCGACGUAGUACGACGGGGAUAUGUCGUGAUAUCAUUUUACGGGAUUGCAGGAAGAGGGACUCGUGAGGAUGAUCCCGAGUAGCGUAAUAGGAUUUUCGGGAUCAGAGCUUUACGCAGGAAGGAUUGCGGUAUCUUUCGGGCACCAAAUAACGCAUAACGCGAAAUUUCCAGCUUUCAGGAUGUAGCUUCAAUUAGGAAAAUGUCCUAUGAUUACGUAAGCCAUUUCAGCGAGAUUUUAACUAUGACCUGACUUGGUUGAUAAACGCAAAACAAAAUAACUAAUCUCAUACUGUUAAUUAUCAUGUCGUUCGCAUAAAGAUAAACUGAGAUUUAAAUAAACGUUCGAUAUCUUUAAUUCAAAUGAAUCAUGCUUUUAUUCUUUUUAUUAUUUUUAUCUUGCGUCUUGUAAUAUUUUUCUUAAAAUUGUUUUCAUUUUUUUCUGUUAUAUUAAAUUUUUAGUUCAAAACGUUAAUGUCAAAUUUUUUAAAUUUAUAUGAGUAACGUUAUAUACACUUUCUCCAACACUUACUAUUUAAUUUAUAAACAGUACUUUCUCUGCGAACUUCGAUUACAGUUUGUAUAAUUUAUACGGAAAAAUACUGAAGUGUUUGUUACAUAACAACGAACGUUCUUUCAUUAUUUCUGUCACAUAUUUUCUUCUCAUUUUAAUUAUUUAAAAUUUUUAAUUAUGUUUCAACAUUUUGAUUAUAUUUUAAUCUCUCAAUAAUCUCUUUUAAUUUAUCUUUCUUAGCUGCGCUGCGUUAAUUUUGGGAUUUAAAUAUAGCAAAUUGAGUCUUUGAAAGUAAAUACUAAAAUCGCGAAGAUAUUAAGGUUCCUGGCUCAUAAAAGUACCAGAACGACCAGUCGAAAAAUUUGUAUACAGCCCGGAAGAUAUACGUCGCAAACCGUUUUGUAUGCUAAGAGAGGACCUACCCAACCGCAAAAAGACGCUCUGCGACUCCCGAAGAGAUUUCGCCGAAAAGAAAUCCAGCCUCAACGAUGCGUUCAGGGCGCUCCUAUUGUACAAAGAAAUCCCUCGUACCCUCUUUUUAGGCGUCCAGCGCAAUGCGUCGACUCUCAAACGAUCGAAACACCGAGGGGGACUCCAUUCGUCGAUUCAUCUUUUCCGUUUUCCGCUCGCGGAAAGAACGCCGGAAGUCGAGUAACGAAAGAUGACGACGACGACAAAACUAUACGAGAACGUCGUUUCUACUGCGUUUUCCGAUCUCAACGCAAUUACGUCGUUACUAUUCGACGAUGAAAUCAGAUGUACUUUAAUUAACGAAGCUCGUAAUUAACGUUGGUACAAGAGUAACUUCCGCGGUCAAAGAAAACAAUUGUGUUUUCUUUAUACCGCAGCAAAUCGUAAUAGAAAAUAAGAAAGGAGUAAAAAUAAAAAUGUCAUUUUGAAUUACGAUAAUUAUGACUUCAUACAUUAAUUAUGACUCAUAUUGUUUAACUUUGUAGAUAAACGUGGUGUAUUAUUAAAUUAAUGCAAAAAACCUAAUUGGAUAUUUAAAAAAUCUUAAUUUAUAAAUCUGAAAUCCCUUUUUAAAUUCUCUGAUGGUUUCUUUUUAUAAAAACUUAUCAAAUAAAAUACAUUCCUUCCAUAUAAAUGAAUUAACAUUCUUAAUUCCCACUUUCAACGAUCAAUUUAUUAUUAUAACACAAUCCAAUUUACUUCGUUUUUAUUAUUUAAAAGUUAUCAAUGUAUGUAAACUGUUCCGAAACUUUAUUAAACGUUUCGAUAUUUCGGGAAAAAUUUAGGAAGACAUUUUCCAUAAAGCCAAAAUCUAUUUGCUGACGAUAGUCGGCUAGUAUCGAGAAGGGAGGAAGUCUCGCAUUUCCGUCGACGAGAGUGGACGCACGCGCUUACUUUUUAUAUUUUAGGGACACAGUUACGUAUAGAUAGUUUUGUGGGCGAACAAGCGAGCAGAGUGUUCCGAGCCGUUCUCACGCGAUGAGAAGCGGAAAGUACUUUACGACUCUAGCUAUGUAAACCAAAAAAAUAAAAAAUGAAAGACUCUCGAGCGAAAAGAGAGAGAGAUCGUCGUAGCGUAUGAUGUCCGUGCAAGCUUACUAGUGCCGCCGUGCUUUUUCGUUGAAAUCCGUUUCGUCGCUCGUACCUAUCGAACGAUUUGUAUGAAAGUCAUCGUGAGUCAUCGCGAGACCCGCCGUAACGAUCGGUAUUUCGCGACAUCGACGAGCGAGUUACGACAGUGAACAAAGGCUGAUAUUGAACUCUCAUAAAAAAAAGAUGCUAUUUCUAUAUAACUCUAAAUAAUUUUACAAAAAUGAUAAAUCGUUAUAUCAUAUAUCAAUUAUACAAUUAUAUAAAAUAACGUUAAAUUCUUUGAAAUGUUCUAUCUUCGCACAUUUUUAAAACAAAAUAUGAUGAAGAGACGUAAAAAAAUUUUUUUGGAAGAAAUACGUUCCUUCCUUAAUUAGCUAAAAUAAUGAUUAUGUAUAUGUUAAUAAAUAUACUGUUUUAAUUAAUUCGUCAACAUUUAUCGACAUGGCCUCAAUUAAAAUUUUUCGACUCGCUUAACAUCGUGACUCGACUCGAAUGCGCAGCUACCGAGAUGAGACGGCGAGUCCGCGAAUAGUGAACAAAAGAAAGAGUGUAUUUUAUGAUAUUUUACGCAUAAAAAAAAAAUGAAGAGGAACGAUCGUAAAUCGAAAUAUAGCGUUAGUUCAAGGUAAACUUAAGUAAGUAGAGGUGUAUAAAUAAAAUGACAAUUCGAGGCGUGCCGUGUUUUGCGCACGCCUCCUCGCGCGGCGACAACGCCGCGUCGCGAAAUGAACGCGAUUUUACACAUGUAAGGAGAAUCAAUUCUCGGUCCACGAGAAGUGGAUGGGACCGCGAAACGGUGAUUGUGCGCACGUUACGUCCGUCACGUCGCCGAUUAAUUAAUUAACGACGGGACGUUUACCUUUUAUUGUAGCCGGUAUUAGUAACUUCACCGAUGGCGCUUGCGAUUCCUGUAUCCUCUCAAUCGUCGCACGGGCGACGCUCGAUCGCUGAUAACGAUAAUCGUAAAAAGAAAUCUCCGCAAAUCGCAUUCGCGAUUGUAACGGAGACCCCGCAAUGCGAUCGAACGUCGCACGUUCGAUGACGCCCUUUCGCAAAUCUCAAUUAUCGCGAAAUCACCGUUUCGCGAGAACGAUGCCCAAUCACUGGUAUACUAAGCGCUACUGUAAAAUAUUGUAUAUUAUUUCGCGUUGUUUAUUUUUCAAUGUUUUUACUAGAGACGCGUUUCUACGGUAUUUACGAGGAAUUACCGCAUAAUGUUACUGAAAACGCGGUCCGCGCUGCUCCGCUACACCGUACAGAUUGCGACAAGAGAAGCUGUUUGCCAUUAAGAAUUACAAAUAAUAUAAUAUAAAAAAAGAUGUAAAAGAAUUAAAAAAUUCUUGACAAAUUUAUCGUCGUGCGAUUGUUAUAUGAAAAUAAAUAUUAUUAGCGCUAAAUUAAAAUUACAUUUCGAUAAUUAAUUUUGACAAUUAUUGUCAUCACAAUAAAACUUGAAGACCUUUAGUCAAUUUUUUAAUUCUAAAUUUGAAAUCAAUUUUAAUUAGCGUCACACACAUAGUUUUGCGUACAAAAAAAAUUUAUAAUUUGCACGUAAUUAGCAAUGUAAAAAAGAAUGGUUUCUUUAUGCUCAACCUUUUUCCAACCAGCUUUUCUAAUGAUAAUUUCUGUUUUUCUAAUUUACGUCGCAAGAGAACUUUAAAUAAUUCACGACCCAGCGAACUCCAUUACCAUCAUUGUCCGUUCUCUUACGGUGUUGCAAGCCAGCGAGAUAAACACGUUUGUAAAACUGCAGCGUAUCUCCAGCAGCUUUCGCAGUGUGUGAGCUAAAAAAAACGAAUGCAGAGCAAAACUAGUCUAGGACACAUUUAAAGAGCGUAUGGCUUGGGUGCGGAGAAUUAUUACGAAUGUAAUGUCCGUCUUUGAUGUAAAUAACGUGCUUUUGAAGAGAAACGAAAUAUUUCGAGUAGAAAAUCUUACAAACAUUUAAUUAUACGCGAUCACAUUCGCAAAACAGCGCAACAUUGAGAUCAACAUUUGCAAAAUGUGGAGAAUUCCGCGAAUACUGUUCGAAUUUUCCUAUAGUUUUAUCGAAUGUCAUCAAGUUGGUUAAAAAUGAAAAAAAUUAAAAAAAAAUUUAAAAACAGUCAUUAGUUACCGCGGAAUGUUAUUGUAAUUGCUAAAAUUGACAAAUCGCGAAAAUGUUCAUUGACGUUUCGGAAAAUUUCUGAAAAACUCGUGUUAAUGUAAUCUAUUAUAUAAAUGUAAUUCGCAUAAAUAGAAAAUAAUUGUAAAAAUGGGUCGUUGAAAUUUGAAAACGUUCUUAAACAUGCAACGAAGGUCCGAGAUAUUUUUUACAAUCUCGAAUGCUCGAAAGUGCUAUUUUCUCAAAAGUACCGUGUCUCAAAGACGAGCCAAGCGGACGAGAAUCGGACGUUUGCGUUCCGCGAUAGUCUUUAUAGCAAAAAAGAAAAGACUACGCACUAUUGAUAAUAUGGCUAAUUCUAGCAGCACGAAGUAUUAACGUUAAUAGCGAAAUUAUUAUAAGGGAGACGUAACGGCGAAUUACUAAUAAAGGUAUAGGUCGCCACCGAUGUUUCCCGAAACAACCUCCUUCGACGAAAUGCGCUCGAAACACAAUGGCAGGUAUAAAUGAAAGAAGCGAUACUCUUUUAUUCCUAUGAUUGGCUACUCUUUGAAAAAAGGCCACAUUUAUGAUGAGCGCCUAAUGAGCAGUACAUAAUAAAAAUGUUACGCUGUACUUUAAAGUAUUGAUUUUUUUUCUCUAUGUCAAAGAACGAAUUUCUCAUUUACUAUCUUUAAUUAUUAUGCGAAAUGAGAGACGAUUACAAAUGCAGAUUGAAAUGUAAGGUAUACAAGAAAAAAGAAAAUUAAAUAUCUCUGUAGUCGAAAUAAAUCGAAUUUUUCAAUCUAUUUCGACUACAAAGAUAUUUCAUAUAGAACUCUUCGUUUAAAUAUGAUUAGAUUAUCCUAAAAAAAUAUGGUAGAUAUUAAUCUGGAACGAUGGAAUAAAGAUACGUGAAAAGUAUUGUUAAAUAAGAGAAAAAGUAUUAUUAAAAAAAAGAUACAUUCACAAUUAGGAUAUUUACGAAAUUAAAGCAAUGCUUUUCAAACAUUCGUUAUAUUAAAAAUUCUUAAGACAAAUAACUAAUAACUUUUUGAAAUUUAUUUUAAGAAAUUUUAAUAACUUUUUAAAAUUUAUUUUGUUUUAAGAUUGAUUUCGAAAACUUAUUGUUACACAGAUAUGAAACCUUCAAAGCAUAUGCCAGUUAUUCGAAUAAAAGGCAAAAUUAUUUUCAUUCAUUUAGAUUUGUCAUCAAAUCGAGUGCCAAUUACCGGGCAUCGCGGACAAAUGAUAGUGUGUGUAAAGCACAAAAUAAUUUUCAUUGAAUUUCGUUAUUACCCAAGUGAGGCAGAUAAAAUAUGUUACACUCGGAAUUACGAGUGUGUUUGUAAAAUAUGAUUUAUCUAAGGAAGCCUGACGCUGAACUUUCGCUGAAUUUUUUCCCAAUUGCACAUGGAUUUCGUUUAGGAUGCUUCAAAGAUGAAGCACAACGCGAGGAAUCGUUAGGAAAUGAUUGAGACUAGUAUCAGCAUCGAGAUUUCAUGUGAGAGAAGCUUUACGCUGGAAGACGCUAGCAUUAGAUGAUUAUGAGGCGUCGGCAAGCGAAAAUAUUUUAUUCUAGUCGUAUCUCUCAUGCUUUGACAAGUAAGCAAAUGUAACUUUUGUGUUUAAAAUGUAACAGUCAAUUAUGUUUUAAUAAAAUCUGCCAAGAUUUU